rnacentral:lncRNA from 10 species
GGAAGAUGGACAGCAUCGAUACAGUUAAGCUAAUGAUCUCGAGAGGAUAUCGUCCUGGAUAAGGGUGGAGCCUACGCCCAAAAACAAGAUUACCUGAAAGAGAAAAGAAAGGGGGAAAACACACAGAGAUACAGUCGGGGAGGCCACAUGAAGAUGGAGGCAGAGACAGGAGUGAUGAGCCUGCAAGCCAAGGAAUGCCAAGGGCUGCCAGCAGCCAUGAGAAGCUGAGAGACACAGAGAACGAGUCCUCUGCCAGAGCCUCCAGAAGGAACUAACCCUGUCAAUACCUUGAUUUCGGACUUCUGGACUCCAGAACUAUAACCCUCCUUCCUCCACCUCACAAAAACUCACAAGCUGCAACCCUUCUGAUGUCCACUCCCACACAAACCAGCUUCAGGCCUUUUUCAAGAGUGCAGGAAAUUCUACCCCCC